GUGACCAAAACCCAGCUGAAACAGCAGAUAAUGGAAAAAGAAUCACAAGUUAACCAGUUUUGGAAAGAGUCUCCAUUUUUCUCUGGUCCCCCAUGGAUUCCGCUGAGAAGGUAGCAGCCAUCUUUUAAGUCGUUGUUCCAGGAUAGGUGUCCAGUUUUCCUAGCACCAUUUAUUGAGGAUUCCAUCUUUUCUCCAUUGUAUAUUCUUGCCUCCUUUAUCAUAGAUUGAUUAACCAACAAACAGAAUUUGUCCAUGCAAAAAGAACCUAAGACUGUCAAAGGUAUGCUUUCUUCUACAUGCAUACUUGAGAUUCUGUUGAAUGAUGGGAUGAAGUGAUGCAGACUUCGCUGGAGCCUCCAAACUUGAGGAAUUAUGUAAGGAUCCUGAGUGACAGGAGAGCAACAACUUUCCCUGCAUGAAGAAAGUAUGGAAAUAAUAGUCAUCUAGCAACAUAGAAACUGAGCAUUAGAUAUAAAUAACUUUCCUCAGACCAUAAAAAAGUGGGAGAGCACCUCUAGGAAUCUGAAGAAGCAGGACCCCAAACCUGUGCUAAUGAAGAUGAGAACAAGCUUUCACAGGAGGUAGAGGUGCCUGGCCUGUGCCCUUCAGGGCAGUAAAAUGUCUUCUCCAUGGUAACCUGAGCCAUAGCAGUAUGCAACCACUACUGCUUUAUGGAAGCUCCAGGUGUGUCUCUAGACCUCUUGGGGAAGAUGAAAAACUAUACCAAGUGUGCCAACAACUAAAGGUGCUGGGAGUGUGGAUGCCAUGGGUCACAUACACCCUGAAUACCUGCAUGGCUCUGUCUGGAUGUAGAAAACAACAGUUCCUCUCAUAGGAGAGUCUGACGCCAGACUCCAAAGUACCCUCCCAUUCUAAAGUGAGGCGCUCCUUUAUCUUGCCAGGACCAGGCAAAACUGGAUCUCAGACUUUAGCUAUCUUCUCAAUCCAUAGAUAUAAGAGAAUAGAAAAAGUGGAAAGAAUAUUGGAAGAGUGCUUUUCAUGGCAGGAAUGUUCUCCAACUUCAUGAGAGGGGGAGAGAGUCUUUUUUCCCCUUGUUUUAAGCCAAGUGCAAGAAGCUUCAGAGUUGCCCCAGUGAGGCCAGCUCAGCAGUGUACUUGUUGCAAUCACAAUGAGUGGCCUUUAAGCUUCUCUAACAAAAAGAAGCUCCUUCAGAAAAUUCACGAGUUCACAGAUCCCUGUUCAGAGUUGGGAUCCAACUUAGCAUUGACGAUAAGCCUUCAUUAACGUUUUCUCUGGGAACAACCAGGAAGUUUCAAACCCAGAUACAGCUGAAGGAAAUCCCAUCCUUAGCAGUUUCUGCCUGCUCACUGAAUGCUCAUCGAGUGCUUCGAAGAAGAGCUACUGGUUGGUCUAGAGUCAGAAAAGAUCCUCUGGAUUCCAGAGAACACAUUUCAGUGUGUGAGAAAGGUGUGGAAACAUUACACAUUUUGCAAUAUAGAAACUGAGGAUCAAGCAAAAAUACAUUUCCUCAGGCCACAGGUAAAAAAGUGGCAGAACUCUGAUUGGAAAGUUUAAAAGCAGGGCUCAAAAUCUCUUUUUUAUUAAAUGAAGACGAGGAAGUUUCAAGGCAGAUGGAGGUGCCUGGCCUGGAAAUUUACCUAUGCCAGGCAGGUAAACAUCUUCCGCAUGUCAAGAUGAGCCACAGCAGUAUGCAGCCACUACUGCUUUGUGACAGCUUCAGGUAUGUUUCUCUGCACCUCUUGGGGAAGACGGAAAACUGCACCAAAUGUGCCAAUAAUUGGUGUCGGGAGUGAAGAUGCCCUAAGGGAAGACACCCCCUCAGUACCUGCAUGGCUUUGAAUCCUGAAGCAACAACUCCUCUCAUAGGAGAGUCUGACCCCAGACUCCAAAGUUUACCCUGCUAUUCUAAAGUGAAGUGCUCCUUUAUCUUGCCAGAACUGGCCAAAACUGGUUCUUCUGGCAUUUGCUGAUCUCUCAAUCCGGAGACAUGAACGAGUUGAGGUGGAUAAAGUAGAAGGAAUAUUGUAAGGGUCUUCUUCAUGGCAGCGUGUCCUCCAGCCUUGUAUGAGGGGGAGAGAGUCUGCUUUUUCCCUGUUUCAAGCCAAGUACAAGAGGCUUCAGAAAGCAUGGCCCAGUGAGGCAAGCUCAGCAGUGCACUCACUGCAGACACAGUGAGUGACGUUUGAACAUAUGAGGACCAGAAGCUUCCUCAGAAAGUUCGCUAGUCCAAAGAUCCCUGCUCAAAAUUGGUAACUAACUUAACAUUGAAGAUGAUCCUUCAUUAAAAAUUUCUCUGAGAAAAACCAGGAAGUUACCAGCCCAGAGAGAGCUGGAGCAAGUCCACUCUUGGCAGCAUCUCCACGUGCACCCAAGCUCCAGAGAGUCCUGGGAAGAGGCAAUAUUGGCUGUUCUAGAGCUUCAGAAGUACAGGAGAGGAAGAAAGCUGGAGCGUCUCUGGAUUCCAAAGAACACAAGAGUUGCCCCCAUGAGGCCAGCUCAGCAGCAAACUCACUGCAGACACAAUGAGUGUCCUUCAAUCUUCUGAGUCAAGAUACUUCCUCAGGAGAUUCACUAGCCCAAGAUGCCUGUUCAGAGUUGAGAUCAAACUUGAUAGCACUGGAGAAAAUGCUUCAUUAAAAUUUUCUCUGGGAACAACCAGGGAGGUUACAAACACAGAGACAGCCGAGCAAGCCCUGUCCUUGGCAUUGUGCUCCCUGAACGCACGUGGAGGCUUGGUAAGCAGUGGUGCUGGCUUCACAGGAGACUCAAAAACCACAGGAUCAAGAGGAAAGCCUCUGCAUUCCAAAGAACACACUCACUGCAUGGAGAACAUUGAAAUAUCUGUUGUCUACCCAAAAAAAAAAUAGUGGCGAUCAAAAUUAAAUUACUUUCCUGAAGCCUCAGGGCCAGUAAGUGACAGAGCUAAGAUUGGAAUCUAGAAAAGCAGGACCCCAAAUCUGUGCUCUCAAGUAUAAGGAGGAGGAGGUUUCACACCAGUUGAAGGUGCCCACCCCAGGUCCUUCCUAUCAGGUAAACCCUUUCUUCAUGGUAAAUCUUAGGCCAUAGCAGUAUGUAGCCAUAACUGCUUUGUGGUUGCCCUAGACCUGUUUCCUCACCUCUUGGAGAAGAUAUGAUGUCUACCCAUUUUGCCUGAAGUAAAAGUGUUGUGAGUGAAGAUGUUAUGGGUCGAACAUAUCCCUGAAAACCUGCAUUGAAUUGGAUGUUAAAAAUAGCAGUUUCUCUUAAACGAGAGUUUGGAGAUUCCAAAGUCUAAAACUAUACCUGCCAAAUAACCCUGUAUUAUAAAGUGAGUGGUGCAUGACCUUGCAGAGAAACUGGACCAAAACUGAUUCUGCAGGCAUUAACUUUUCACUCAGCUAAGCAGUAUAAAAGAGUUGAGGUGAAAGAUAGCAUAAAGUCUUGCCACCCUGACUGGCAUUUUCUCCAUACUUGUAAGAGAAGAAAGAUUGCUUUCCCCAUGUUUUAAGUCAAGUGCAAGGGGCGUCAUGUUUUCCCUUAUCCAGGCCAGCUUGGCAGUAAACUUGUUACAGACACAAUGAGUGGUUUUCAAACCUCUAGAAGAAAGAGGCUCCCUGAGAAGUCUACUAGUCCAAAGAUUGUGUGGAUGAUUGAUCCAAGAUGGGACUGGAUAUUAUACAUUAUAAAAAAUAUUCUGUGAGAAUAACAAGGAGCUCACAAAGCAAAAGAGAGUUGAAGGAACUAAUACAUGGGGCAGUUUCUGCGUGCACACUUUAGGCUCCUAGAAUGGUGGGACGACAUGACAUAGAUUGCUCUGAAACAUCAGUGGUCAAAAGAGGAUCCUCUUGUGUCAAAAAACACAAAGAUGGAUCACUUGCUACUGACCUGUUCUGUGGAUAUUCCAGUGCUUUCAGUGGAGUCAUACCGACAUCACUUAAUUCUCCCACAGGUGAUGUAUGUAAACAUGUGCAUGUUUUAGUGAGGAUAAUCCCAUCCCCAGUUUCACUGUGGUUGCAUAAACCAAACUGGCCAAAAAGAGUGCAUGCUUUUAUUGGCUUUGUUGAUAAGUAACCUUGUGUUCUUUGGAAUCCUAACUCUAUUAUUACCUUGUGUUCUUUAGAAUCCUAACUCUAUUAUUACCUUGUGUUCUUUGGAAUCCUAACUCUGUUAUUACCUUGUGUUCUUUGGAAUCCUAACUCUAUUAUUACAGUUAAUAAUAUAUCGUAACUAAACCUGCUGUCUUGGUUUCUGCUCACAGGUUGAUACCUUGUUACUGCUCUCAUCAGUGGUAUUUCUGAUGCUAUUUUUCUUAAGUGUCUUGUCAAAACAGAAACAUGGGGUCAAGGUUCCCUGGUGUAAUGCCUUUGGGCAAAGGUUUAGUCAGGUUUUUGUUCUGUGGUCUAGGCAACUAGGGAAUGUAGGCAAGAUCCUUUCAGACAACCAAUCUGCAAUUCUUUGGAGUUGGUUAGAGGAUGUUUUUGGAAAUAUUCUGAACCCAUCAGAUUCCUGGAACAAACAAAAUAUUUUAUUUGAUCCACUGUCAUUGGUGUUUUUUUUUAUACAGCUGAACAUAAUCUUGGCUGAUAGACUUCUUAACAUAAGUAAAACUAACUUGAAUUACCUAUGUGGUUUUCUGACUAUGCUAUCAUAAACUAUGGUUUACAUUAGCAAAUUUUGUUUUAUUUAAAACCAAAUGUUGCAAGUGAUAAAAUAAAUGAAUGGCUUGGAUUUAAUAAAAUUAAAACAUUUCAAAGACACCAUCAAGAAAAUGAAAAUACAACUCACAGACUGGGAGAAAAUAUCUGCAGUAAUCCAUACUUUUAACCUACUUCUUUCAGUCAUAAAAGAUAUGUCAGGAGUUCCCGUCGUGGCGCAGUGGUUAACGAAUCCGACUAGGAACCAUGAGGUUGAGGGUUCAGUCCCUGCCCUCGCUCAGUGGGUUAACGAUCCGGCGUUGCCGUGAGCUGUGGUGUAGGUUGCAGACGCGGCUCGGAUCCCGCGUUGCUGUGGCUCUGGCGUAAGCCGGUGGCUACAGCUCCGAUUCAACCCCUAGCCUGGGAACCUCCAUAUGCCGCGGGAGCGGCCCAAGAAAUAGCAACAACAACAACAAAAGACAAAAAAAAAAAAAAAAAAAAAAAAAAAAAG
rnacentral:lncRNA from 1 species